CUCCCUCUUCUCCAUGUGCUGCUACUGCUGCUACAACACAGAGCUCCCUCUCCAGUCUAGUGUUGCAGAUGACAAAAGGCAGCUGGGAGUGGCCAGCAUAAGCUCCUCCCAACUGUGGAGACUAGUGGCAACAACAGUCUCACGAGACACACUGGUCUCCUUCAUAGGGGGGCCUCAAGUCUUCCUCUUUGACCAGAUGGCAGGCCCUCUAGCCAAAGGUUGCCACACUGGUAUUUUAUCCAUUGCCAAAAGCGGCAGAUGACUCUGCUUGGUGGAUCAGGCAGCAGGGGUAUGUUCCCAAACAGACAGAUGCCAUUCUGCCUCAAGAGAAUGACUCUGCCACCUGAGCAAAUUAUUCAGCAUCCACUGGCCUUGGACCAGGCAAUUGUUCAGCCUGCUUCUCACAAUUAGAAGUACACCAUGUCCUUUACAGCUUCCGAUUGCAGGGCAUUCCACUUUUUUGUCAUUGCAGGAGUUAAGCUGGGGCUCAAACAUUAAUACACCACUUAUCAUUUCACAAGCUAGUGUCUAAAACAUCCUUGUUGCCUUCAGGCCAAUAUUGGCCCCCUGUGACGUGAUUGUUAAGCUUGUCUUGUGCCAUUGUUAUUUGAAGCACAUAUGGAUCCCUAUACCAAGGAAUCUGGACGAUUUUUAAACUGCAAGGGGAAAAAUACUGUGCCAUGUUUUAAAGGGAAUCAAGUAUCACAGGUGGAAAAGGAAAAGAGUUGAAACUAGCUUGAAAGCGUUAGGCUUUUUAUUUUGAUUCUUUUUGUGGAUUAUCUUCAAAGACAGGCCACCUACAAGGAAAUCUUCUAUAUCUCCAAAGAUGAAAAUCUUUUUCUGGAGUCUAGUUCACAGGAGAAUUUUGAAAACUUGGUUUUCUUCCUGCUGCCUCUCCAGAGCCCCAAAGCUGGUUAAGGGCAUUAUUCACGCUGAUAGGAAGAUCUGAGUCUUCUGGCAAUUUCCUUUCUUAAAUAAAUAUUUCUGUACAAGGGAUUAUACCCUUCAAUAAACUUCUUUUCUACAGUAAACAACAGCAUCUUGCCCCGGAGACUCAUGCUGUUAUUAUAGCUGACCUUUAUCCUUGCAAUAGUAAUUUACAAAGCACCUGCACAAAAGCUACAUGCUUCUUCAUCUAAUGGCACAUUUUUAGCAUAAGGAAAACAUGCAUUUUACAUGAUCGACCAGAGAAUGAAGGCAGAAUUUGAAAAAUGUGGACACAGCGGGUAGAUGGAGAGCAAGGAUGCUUGCUUCUUGUCACAAAUAUUUCUCCUUUGUAAAGGCAAAUUCCUGUCCUAGCUUGAAAAUUGUCAUGAUCUUAUCAUGUCAGAGGGGAGCUGAUAUGCUCCUUAUAGGAGCAAAGUCACCUUGAGACCUGGAAGUCUAUAAUUAAUUAGACAAUAAUCCUAGAAGCCCCUGUCAUAGAACACAAUUUGGAACAUUUCAAUUUCUACAUCCAAACAUUUCAGAAAAUUAAGAGCUUUAUUUCUAAAAUUAAAAAACCCUGUGGCCUAAGUCCAUCAGUAAAGUAGACCCAUCAAGCAAGAGAUUUGCAUUAAUUUUAACUUACCAUUAAUUAGUUCAUUCAGUGGCUUUACUUUAGUAGAGACAUGAAAUUGGAUUUAGGUCGUAGUGACUUAGAAUUAGUAUUUGCAUUAUAAACAGUUGCUGCUAGGUUCAAGGAGUAUUCCUAUAGCGAUACUGUAGAAGGCAAACCAGCUUAAAAGGCUGGCAACUGGGUAUAGGAUCGUUAUGAGUGGAUU
rnacentral:lncRNA from 1 species